rnacentral:lncRNA from 1 species
GUAGCUUGCCGGGCAACUUGUAAGUUGCUCCCCGGGGUGAGACCCUCCCGGGAACUCAGCGAUGCGACCCACGCGUCGUGCAACGGUGGUACCCCGGGUGCCACUGGUUCGACACCUUUUUUUUAUCGGAUUGAGUAUAUAAUGCCAAUAAGGGUUGGUAUUGCAUUGUGUACAUAUUAACUUCUGCGUGAAGAAUUUGUACUAAAUUCACAAACACUAUCACAUGUUCACUACGUGGGUCAGCGUCGCCAUGCGUUCGAGCACCGUUCGAUUUGAAUGGACCGGCGCAUGAACAUGCAUUGUAUUAUGUAAAGUUUGCACCCAAACCACAAAAACAAACCGUAUUUCAUUCUUUCUGUUUUCUUUUGUUUUGUUUUCUCUCACAUUUCUUUUUUUAUUAUGAUAAAUUUCAGUAAACAUUUUUUCUUUGCGGUGAACAUUUUUCUUGAUAAUAUGAUUUUUAUGAAAAUGAAUUUUUGUGAGUUUUCCCUCACACUUAUUUUUUUAAUAUGAUAAAUUCUAGUAAACAUGUUUUCAUUGUGGUGAACAUUUUCUGGACACUAUGAUUUUUAUGAACAUGAAUAUUUAUGAAACAUUUUGAAUAACACAUAUAGUUUUCACGAGAUACUUGAACAUAUAUUACAAAGUACUUAUACGCAUUGUAAACUAUCAGCUCUAUUUUCUAAGAAUUAGUUGAACAUUUAUCACAAGAUACUUUUGUUGUCGUUGUAGAACAAUCUUUGGUACACGGGUUACCUAAUGCAUGAUAGUCAAAGUGUAAAAACAGGUGUGUACGCCGGCCUUAUAGCGAACGUAUGUAAUGCAUACAUGAACUUUGAUGUUUAUUACUUUAUUUUCCAUGAUAUUUGCAACGUUUUUAAUGACUCAAGGGAUUUUCAUGAUAAUCCCCCAUGUAUGUGAUAUUUAAUUCUUGGAGGCAAAAAAUUUCCUUUUACUUGUUUUUGUUGUGACAGAAGCUACGUAACUCCAAUUAAACUGAAAAGUUAUGGGAGUCAUUUUUUUGGAACAAAUAAAAGCCGUGUGCGAAGGACGCAGCCGUGGGGCUCACCGAACGCCAGAAUCUCCCCAUGGCGCGGCCAUAGGUGGGGCCCGUGCCAUGGAGGGUUUCUGGGUGGCCCGUUUCGCUCCGUCUUUUUUCCUGAAGGUCCAUCUUGACCUAAAACCCCCUAUAAAUAUGUCCUUCUUCGUGUUCCUGAAACACGGUGGCAAAGAAAACAUAAACAACAAAAUUGCAGCAGAUCGAUCCAUAAUAGGAUGGGAGAAACUUCGCCGAAGUCACUGUUAGCCGCCUCUCAAUCAUCACCAAGCCCCUCUCCCUCAUCUCCAUGAUGAGGAGGGAGUAAUCUCCUCUGGACCUUGGGUCCCUCCCUCCCUCUCUCUCUCUCUCUCUCUCUGGGUAUCAAUGUAUCAGAAUCAUAUGAGCUGCCAAACAUGAUUAUGAUCAUCUUUGUAUUAUCUAUUGGUGGAUCCUUUGUUAUGGAUUAAUGUUAUGAGUUGCAAUUUCUCUGAUUUGACUUUGACAUUAUUUACAGAUCUAUAUGUCUACCUCUUUCUUGUUUUCUUUGUGUGCGUUAGUUGGACCUAAGCAGACAGCUGGCGGGAGUUGUGACGGUAAGUGGGAGUUGUGACGGUAAGUCUGAAUAUCCUCGGUCUA